rnacentral:lncRNA from 1 species
AUGGAUACCAUAACAAUAGCUGUGAGAUGGUGCUGUGUCCCACAGGCACACAUCAACUUUGUGACCGAUGGAAUCACAAAGUGGUAUAUGAGCAGAUGGAUAUACAAACAUUCUAAAACCAAAAAUCUGACAAUCAUUUGUGUCCAAGUAGAAUUUAAAAGAGUCUCUGCGUAUAUUCAACAGCUCCUAAGUGUGAUGAAAGCUCUAUGGGUGGAACCAGGACGUGGCUCAAUGGACUGGGAAGCAUUGGAUACACUGCUGGAUGACACACCUCUAGUGCCUGUCAGCACCAACAAAUACAGUGUCACGCACACCACCAUGAGACCAGGGGACAGCUUUUAUUACCAUGUGUGUAACACGGUGGAAUUAGUAAAAGGGCGCGCGUGGAUACUCAGGAGGGAACUGACCAUCGCGGACAAGAUGACCAUACUUAAGCUGCACAGCAAACAUGAACCUCACAGUGUUACGCUGUUAGUGCCCGGGACCGCAACAAGGAUGAUACAUGUGCGAUGCACCGAGCCCCAGCGAAUAUACGAGCUGUUCAAGAAGUAUGGCCUGACAUGCUCCAAUGUAUGGGAUUCCAGAACCUCCCUGUCCACAACAUGACCACAGUUAAUGUGAACAGGAUCGCGGAGAAUGAUGCCUUGGGCCAGGAACCUGAGGUGUCCAAUUUCUACCACAACAUGAAAUGCAUCCGAAUACAAGCAAAGCGAGACGCACUGAAACACAGACCUUACAGCACACAUCACCGCAGCGUGGUAGAUGCAGCACAACUGCCAUCAGCCAGUGUUGACGGAACCUGCUCAAAUGAGACUCAGCCCGACUGCAUAUCAGUUGCCCUGUACUACUACGAUCGAAUGGCCAAACUGGGAGAUGUCAUCAAGUCCGACGGUCGGUUCGUACCGUCUGUCCAGUAUUCAAAUCCAGAGGAGUGGUCUGGGGAUAGAUAUGUGUUAGAACUGGAACCAGACAACAACGUGAUCAUUACAGGUAAGAACACAACAAUCUAUAUCCAUUUGGUGUAACAGUAACUCUUAUUGCCAGAGAUGUACACUAAAAGUCCACAAAUGAAUUCUCAUGUUUCUUUUCCUAAAGGCGCGGUGCUCCCGGACGGCUCGAAUGCUGAGACAACGCAUGUGGAACCUUACACAUGCCCCUACUGUCGCGAAGACGCAAAUGCGUACCUUGAAUGCAGACACCUGUGUUGUGUGUCCUGUACAAGAAGAGCUAAGAAGAAGAAUUCUCUGGCCUGUGGUGUUUGCAAGAAAGAAACCACCUCUUACAGACCCCUUGAAAUACCACAGAACUUUGAGUCUACGUGCUUCGCAUGCUGCAAAGGGAAAGAGUGGGUCACAGAAUGUGGCCAUUUAAUGUGUCGAAUGCUACAUUGGACGAUGUCCUGUUUGUAGUAACCCGGUCACUACGCUUAAGAGGGUGUUUAUGUCAUAUUAACAAUGAGUCAAGGAGCCAGGUCUGAAAUACAUGCUUUAUUGUAUCUGAA